AACUCUAACUUAUAACUUGUUUACACUUUGCUCGACAACUCUCUCCUUAGAAUUGUCCUCAUUCGACAACUCUCUAAUUAGAACUGUGUUUUGCUGCCAGUCCGCCAGCCCUUAUAAAGUCGAUUGUAAGCGAUACAUCGGCACUCGAACAUUCUGGCAACUACGAAUAUCAAUGUCUAGAUACAUCUGGAAAUUUAUCGAUUUCGAUUGUCAAUUCUGGUUUGUUCUAGUGCCAUUUUCGUUACAAUAUGUAUACUAUACGCAGUCUAGGAGGAUGGGAUUAUGUGUAGAAAUUCACAGUCCACAUUAACAUCAUCAGGCAAUUUAGAAAAACGCUGAGAAUAUGUUAAAACAAAGGAUUCAUUUUCAACGGAACUGUCGGACGGCCUUGUAUGCCGGUCUAAAAAAGAAUUCGAUUAUGAAUAAUAUUAAAUGAAAUUAGUAAUUACAACACCUACCAACAUUCUCACGUAAAGGCAUAGGGCAUGUCCAGUCAUCAUCAUCUGUAAAAACGCUUUCGGAAUCCGAAUCAGAACGGUUAAUUGUUGUGCAAUUUGUGGCAGUCAUAACUUGCGUCUAAUUAAAGUAAAUAUAUUUUUGUGUACAAUUUAAGUUAAUUGUUUUAAAAUUUGUAAUAAAUAAUAAACAAAUAUAUAAGUAGAA